rnacentral:rRNA from 1 species
CCUACGGGUGGCAGCAGUGAGGAAUAUUGGACAAUGGGCGAAAGCCUGAUCCAGCCAUGCCGCGUGUGUGAAGAAGGCCUUCGGGUUGUAAAGCACUUUCAGUGGGGAAGAAAGCCUUGGGGCUAAUACCCUCGAGGAAGGACAUCACCCACAGAAGAAGCACCGGCUAACUCCGUGCCAGCAGCCGCGGUAAUACGGAGGGUGCGAGCGUUAAUCGGAAUUACUGGGCGUAAAGCGCGCGUAGGCGGUCUGAUAAGCCGGUUGUGAAAGCCCCGGGCUCAACCUGGGAACGGCAUCCGGAACUGUCAGGCUAGAGUGCAGGAGAGGAAGGUAGAAUUCCCGGUGUAGCGGUGAAAUGCGUAGAGAUCGGGAGGAAUACCAGUGGCGAAGGCGGCCUUCUGGACUGACACUGACGCUGAGGUGCGAAAGCGUGGGUAGCAAACAGGAUUAGAUACCCUUGUAGUC